UAGUAAAAAAAAGUUUUGAACUCCUGGCUGCAAAAUUUUAAAUUAAAAUGAGGUGCCUUGGAACUAGCAUGCAACAAUAACUUCAGAAUACUCUGGUAUACAAUAGACGCAUAUUCGAAGGAGCUAAAAUUCAUGUUUUCAGAAUAUCAGGACUAAUUGCAGAGAAUCAAGAAAAGGAUUUUUUGAAUAUACAAUCGAACCAAUACGAACACUAUUCGCAAUCUUUAACUAAUUAUUCUAUCUCAAAAUUGCAAUUUUGGGUUAAAAUUGUCUCAAAAGGAACUUAACUAUCUAAACAAAAUCAAUUGAUAUUUAAAACAUGUUCAGUGGUUACGGUCAGACUCAAACCGAAGAAGUACAAGAACUGAUAGAAAUAGUUUCUUCAGUUCAGCGGAUUAAAAAACAAGCCGAUAUCUUAAUAAACGAAAGGAAUCUAUUUGUAUAUAAAUUAAAAGAAAUAGAGGACUUUUGCAAAGCCGAUCAAACUAAUGAUCCAAAACUACGUUGUGUUCUUAAUAUAUUGACACAUGGCUUUGUUACUGAUGUCGAAGAUAUAGGUAAAGGCAAUCAUACCACAGAGAACGCAGAUGAAAUCGUAAGUGAUUACAAUGAAGAAAGUACCGAAAUAUAAAAAAAAAUUAUGGCGAUAUGGACAUGGAAAUGAUUAUAUAGAAAAUCCAUAAUAACGAUUUAGUUACAGAAACGUUUGCAGUUUCGUUAUUCAAAUUUUUUUUGCACCGGAUUUAAAUCUAAUCCCAAAAACAAUUUUCUGAUCCAUAAAUUAACUCUGGCGUCAUCAUUGGAAACAUGAACUGUGCUUGUUUUUGUAAGUCAAUGCUCUUCAGAUGUAAAUAAGCUUGGUAUACAAAUAAACACUUAACGAUUCCUUAAGAUUAAAUUUAUAGAUAAUUUUCAACGGUCCGUAUUUUUUAUAUGGAAUUAAGUUUACGAUACGACUAAAAAUUAUGAGGAAAAUAGCUAUUAUUCUGAACUGGACUCAUUUUCUUAAGAAUACUUCUAAAACCUUAUUUUGUACUUGUGGUGUACCUGAAUUUAAAGCUGAAGUUCAGGGUUACUUUCCAGUGCAAUUUAAGAAAGCUUAAUUCCUAAAACGAGGUUAGUUUUUGCAAUACUACUUGACCUAUUGAUGACACUUUGAAUGUAUUUAAGUUAUUCAAAUCGUUAUUCUUAGCACAAGAAAAAUGGAAAACUUUUGCUAUAUUUUAAAUUAUGAAAUCCCUAUUACUGAAAGUGCACCUCAUAACUCUGUAAUUUUGACUUCUUGGAUUCAAAAUUUUUAAUUAUA